GAUGAACGCUGGCGGCGUGCCUAAUACAUGCAAGUCGAGCGAACAGAUGAGGAGCUUGCUCCUCUGACGUUAGCGGCGGACGGGUGAGUAACACGUGGAUAACCUACCUAUAAGACUGGGAUAACUUCGGGAAACCGGAGCUAAUACCGGAUAAUAUAUUGAACCGCAUGGUUCAAUAGUGAAAGACGGUUUUGCUGUCACUUAUAGAUGGAUCCGCGCCGCACUAGCUAGUUGGUAAGGUAACGGCUUACCAAGGCAACGAUGCGUAGCCGACCUGAGAGGGUGAUCGGCCACACUGGAACUGAGACACGGCCCAGACUCCUACGGGAGGCAGCAGUAGGGAAUCUUCCGCAAUGGGCGAAAGCCUGACGGAGCAACGCCGCGUGAGUGAUGAAGGUCUUCGGAUCGUAAAACUCUGUUAUUAGGGAAGAACAAAUGUGUAAGUAACUAUGCACGUCUUGACGGUACCUAAUCAGAAAGCCACGGCUAACUACGUG
rnacentral:rRNA from 1 species